CAAUGUCACCGUGUCAGGAACACAGGGCCUGCUGAGGUGUCAUGUUUGUGAGAAGGAGCAUAGUUUCAAAUGCCAGAAUCCAACAGAAUGUCCGGAGGGAAUACACUUGUGUGCCUCUAUUGCCCUGAGAGUAUAUCCACGUUUCUUCUAUGUUUCAAAGCAGUGCUCGAAGAAAUGUCCAACAGUUUUGAACAGCUCGGUCGU